ensembl:lncRNA
GGAUGUUACCUACAGCCCUUGAGGAGGAACUAAAGUGGCUGCAAAAUGAUGAGCCCCACCUCCAGCGCCUCCCUCGAGUGACCGGUUGGCCCUCGGCGCCCUGACUGUGAGAAGGAGCCUUUCUUUGUCCUGCUUGCACACCUGUUAAUGGCGUGGAUGCAUGGAUUCCUGUUUCCAGAGGUUAUUUGGGUGUGGGCGCAGCAAGCAAAGCACAGAGCCAGCCCGCCACUCCAGGCUACGUGACACCCUGGACUCUGCCUCUGUGUUCCGGGGAGGUCCUUGUCUCACUCACAUUACGGAACCGCGAUCCCCUCUCUGGAGGGUCUUGACUCGAAUGUAGACAGGCCGGCAGCAGCUCUAUCGUCAGGUCUUGCUGUGAAGUGUGUCUCUCUCCGUUCCAACCGAGGGUUCUGCUAGAUUUCCAGCUUCUACCUGGAGUGAGAUGUUUCCUAACCUGGUUGAUACGAGCGAUCCACUGUGUGUGACCCGACCCACUGCGUGGAAGACAGUAGAAAACCUUGGCCCCGUUAGCCACAGAUGGUCACGUGACUCGGGCACCAGAACUCGAGUUCUGUACCGAGGGGGACCAGAGGCCUGCUGCCGGACUAGCCUUAUCUUCCUUAAUCCAACCUUCCUCUUGGUUCACCACACUGUAUCACAUGGAAUCACCUUUCUGCUCUUGGUUUAGGUCUUUGUACAAACUCAAUGGAAACAAAUCUAUUUAUAUUUCCUGAUGCUUCAGGAUUCUGCUUAGCAUCUUCCUGGCCAGCAUCCUUAGUGUUACAUCGUCAAUGAUUGUCAUACACAGUCUCCUCUGAUCUUAAUGCUCUUAAGCAAGACGUAAUUACAAUUUAUUGAGCACCUGUGUCCUGGCCUUUUUAUUUCUUUACUAUCCCUGUGAAAGUCGCUCAGUUGUGUCCGACUCUCUGUGACCCCAAUGGACUGUAGCCCCCCAGCUCCUCUGUUGAUGGGAUUCUCCAGGCAAGAAUACUGGAAUGGGUGGCCAUGCCCUUCUCCAGGGGAUCUUCCUGAUUUAGGGAUCAAACUCAGGUUUCUGGCAUUGCAGAUUCUUUACUAUCUGAGCCACCAGGGAGGUCCCUGACUACCACCUAAAAAAAUUAGCAUCCUGCCAGGUGAUAACAUGUGCUCCUGGGUGUUGCUCAAGUGGAUUCAUGACCUGCCAUUUUGGGCCAUGAGGCCAGCGCCCUUUCCUGCAGCCUCUCCAUCUCUGCGGGUGUCCAGAGCACACAGCACCUCCUGGACCUUGUGCUCAGCACUCCCUUGCAGGUGGUCUAUC